CAGCAGUAGCCGCGGUAAUACAGAGGAUGCAAGCGUUAUUCGGAAUUACUGGGCGUAAAGCGUCCGUAGGUGGCUUUUCAAGUCCGAUGUCAAAUCCCCGGGCUCAACCCUGGACAUGCAGUGGAAACUACCAAGCUAGAGUACGGUAGAGGCUGAGAGAAUUUCCGGUGGAGCGGUGAAAUGCGUUGAGAUCGGGAAGAACACCGACGGCGAAAGCAGCCAGCUGGUCUGAAACUGACGCUGAGGUACGAAAGCGUGGGGAGCAAACAGGAUUAGAUACCCCAGUAGUCCCUGUCUCUUAUAC
rnacentral:rRNA from 1 species